AUGAAACGUCGAAAUUGGCCUGGUAAUGAGAAGUGUUCGUUUCGUGCUGCCCGUGAGACGGCGCAACAUCUCUUCUUCCUUUGCCCAGUUGCCAGGGUGAUCUGGCGAUCGGUGGGAGCAGUCCUGGGCACUGAAUUAUGCCCCAAUAACAUUUGGCAAUAUUACACUUUGUGCUAUAUAUAUCUCCCUAAUGGUGCUAAAUUCUAUACCUUCGGCCUUGCUGCCAUCUGCUGGGUAGUGUGGAACUAUCGAAACAGAGCAACCUUUGAGUUUAAGCUUCCUAAAACUCCUUUUGAGAUUGUGUUCUCUGCUUGUGUCUUCAUCACCUACUGGGCAGGUCUUUUGAAGGGGGCAGACCGUGAGGCGAUGGAGCGUGGGUCGCAGAUGCUGAUGAGCAGUACAAGCAAUAUGAUGAUGAUCUGUGCCGCUGCGACAGAAGAUUCGGCGACAACUUGA
rnacentral:rRNA from 1 species